UCGCGAGAGGAUAUAGCACACGCCUCUCUCCCACACCACCCCGCUCUCACACCACGGAUACCCCUCCCUCCCCCUCCCCACCCACGGAUUUGGUGUUCGUAUAAUAAGUACAUGAAUCGGCCUAAACGUGUGUCUGUCCACCUGUCAGGAGUGAAAAUGAACUGAUUAAAAAACAAAAAACAACUUAAGCAAAACAUCCAAACUUGUCUCGUUUAAAGAAGUUGAUCAUAAAGUCACGGGUAAAUAGAGCCAAAGUGUGCUGGAUGUUGCUUGAGACGCGAUCAGCUGAUUUAGUCCUUCAGGAGGAGAGAGAAGUUCAUCUGGAGUGCCGAGGCUUGACAUACGUGGAAAGAACUGAACCAUACGAAACAACCACACGCUAUAUACAUACACACAAACACACACAUACCCACACGCACACAGUCCUAAUGGCAGUGAGAGUGACCGCGCUUUUUAUAAUUUACACUGUGUACUUAGGAGUUACUGAACCCCGGUGUUGAAACUUGGUGUAAUUGUGUGACCUUUUCAAGAGUGAUAAGACGAAGUGCUUAAGACAUUGGUAGUUCAAAGUACUUAUUACGAGGUGGUGGUGUUGUUGUGUCGAGUGUUGCAUUAAUGUGUAUUUUGUGGUGGUUAGCUUAAGUGUCUGAAAAAAAAAACUAUUGGUUUUAAAUAACUGUAUAAUAACGGUAAAUUUUAAUUGACUGAAAAUUUUUAAUUAAGUUCUAGUGUUGAAAAUGGAUUUGUAAAUGUGUAUAAACAAAUAAACAAUAAUAAUAAUAUAACAAGACUACAUGGCUAGAUAAACAAGUGUUAAGACAAGGAAAAUAAGACCCCCCCCCCCCACCACCUCCCCCAGCAUUAUUUGCACACGUAAGAGGUGUCAAGGAGGACUAUGAUUUGCUGGACGGGUAUGACGUCAGCGGCCUCAACCAGCCAAUGGGCAGGGCGGUACCUUCUCCUUGUCUUCUGCUUGUGGCUCCAGGACGCGACGCCCCUCACCAGCG